rnacentral:tRNA from 1 species
GGGUGGUUAGCUCAGCGGUUUAGAGUGCCUCGUUUACACCGAGGAGGUCAUAGGUUCAAUCCCUAUACCACCCACCA